GCAGUCGUUCGCUGUGCAUGCGGAUCGCGUGGUUGUUUGCGUUUCCGAGCGUGGAAUUGGACGUUUCGCAUGACACGCUAGCAUGCCGGGCUAGCAUGCUGGUCGUCGCAACCAUACGACGGAUGGAAAGAAGUUCUUUUCUAUUCCUCGCGGUGAUGAUAACAUCCGCAGACGGAAGAUAUGGCUCCACAGAAUCGGGCGCAAGGAUUUCGUGCCCACUGAAAAUACCCCGCUAUGCGAGGACCACUUUGAUGUUGAAGAAUUUGAGCCAUAAUCCUACAAAGCUCUGGCCAGAAGAAACUGAAGCCGUAUGCCACGCCGAGCAUCUUUACUCAUCGGCCGAAACAAAAAGAGCGGAAGAUGCAGCGAAAUCCUUUAUCCGAAAUAAAGCUCUUAGAGUAUUGUGUAUACAAA